CAAGGAAUAGUUUAAUUAAAAUUUUAAUUUUGGAGAUUAAAGAUGAGAGGGUUUCUUUUCCUUGA
rnacentral:tRNA from 1 species